UUUUUUUCUAAUGGUGGCCAUAUAUCUAUACAGGUGUGUGGGUGUUUAUGUGCAUUUGCAAGGCUCAGUGUACAUGUGGGUGUGCCUACAUCAAUAUCUGUGUAUGUAUAUAGAACACGAAGAAUAAAGGAUGAUAUUUGUGAUAUGGUCUUAUAAGUUACUGGCUCCCGUAGAAUUAAAUAUAAAGCUUUAUGUGAUAAAGUUGUGACAUACGUAUUAGUUGGCACAUAUUUAAGCUCCAAAUCAGUUUGCUGAAUUAGCCUGAUGAAGCAGUACCAAGUAUUCACAUGUACUGAUCUAUCCAAGACCAAUUGAAAUCCAGACAAACAGAAAAAAAAAAAAAAACCAACCCUGAAGUCCCAGCAAUCCAAUCUUACAUUGAUUGAUAAAUGUAAAUACUCAUUAAUGUUUUUAUUGUAAAUUCUUGAUGCUCAGUCAGUAAUCUGAUUGAAUGCGGUGACAUUUUCCUGUUGUGUGUGUAUUGAUGAUUAUCAAUCAAUAUUCACAAAACAAACUGAUUUCUAGACUUGUGGGUACUGGAGUGUUAUGCUGAAAUAAAAGUAGAAAAAUUCAAAGUAAAUUUGAUUUGAAGUUUUGUUAUGAAGCCAGACAACAUGUAAGGCCAUGCUGUGUGUUCUUUUUAUGCUUAUAAACUGUUAAAAUGUUUUGAAUACAACUUGCUGUGUGUGUGUUUAUGUGUGUCUACAUGAGUGUAUACACACUUGAAAAUGCUUAUUGGCUGAAGUUUACUGUCUGUGUACAUUUGUGCAUUUGUGCCUAUCUGCAUUGGCCUUGCCAGCACCUCUAAUUGUGCAUGUUAGUGACAGACAUGUUUGGUUGAACAAACUCACAGAGAAAUAGUGUGGAAAUCAGAGAUAUGUCAAAUUCAUUAUAGCGAUUGCCUGAUACAGCAUAUUAAACUGUCAGCUGAAAAACAUUUGUAAUCUUGUGCUUGUAACAUGUGUAGGGAAAAACGGGAAAAAUCUGAGACCCUCACUAUAAUUUUAAGGGUGCAUGACAUGUGCUGUCUUUAAAAAUGUAUCUUAUUGUAAUAAGAGGUGAUGGAUAAAUUCUGAGAUGGCGUAAGUGAAGCAUGAAACACUAGGUGUUUGUAUUAUAUAUGGCCACACAAUAUUUUUGAAGCCAGGGUAGUAAAUAUUAGAAGGUUAAUAGGCAAAGAAUAUGGAAGUUAAUUUUACUGUGAUGUGUUUUUGAGGUGUUUUUACAUAUUGCCAGACAAGGAACUUAGUUCCUUUUGUUUUUCUCCUGUGGACUCUUUGAAACACUAUGAAUGUUAUAAAGUCGAAUUUUCUUUAUAAAGGUUGCAUACCAUUUGCAGUUGGAGUUGCUUGGAUGUAUAGUCUUUCCUUUGGGGGGGGGGGAAGUGUUUGGUAUUAAAAUGGUUUAAGCAGCAAUAUAUUAGGAAAUACAUCAUUCAAGGCAAUCUGCAGAAACCUGUAGAGAUGAGAGCUAAUGAAAUGUUAUUGAACUACCGAGUUUGAAAGCUUCCAUGCCCUUCUGCUGUCGUUUCCUCGGAAAAUGCUGUACCUUGUGUUUGACAUGCAACCAUGUUACCCUUUCCUGAACUUACCUUUGUGACACUUAGCAGCUUAGCCAAACCAUGUAAUAAACAGGAAGAACUG
rnacentral:lncRNA from 1 species